GGCAUCUAGUUUAACUCUCUUGUGUUUCAGAUGAGGAAACUGAGUCCCAGGAAAGCUAUAGAACUGUUUCUAUGAUACAAAAGUAUUUGGUGAUUCAAGGCACACAGCUGGUUAAGAGUCAGAGCCUUGACAAAGAAGCAAAAUCUACUAAGACCCUUGGCCUCACUGUUUUAGCCAUGAUCUCUGUGGUAAUCAUUCUGGCUUAGCUAGUCUCUGGUAAAUACUUGCCAAAUAUAACAGGCACCGUUGACUUAUCAAAGAAAAAAUUUAUGACUCAAAUAAAUGAUUACAGAACUGUCAACAAUGCCCUUGUAAAAGAUUAAUAAUCGUGUACAAAAUUCAGGCAUGGUGCCACAUGAAAAGCAGGAGGAACAAUGUGGGGCUGAUGAUGCAAUCCUAAGAACACUUAUCAAACCCUGAAAUGUCAUAAAAUCCUGCCCCGCGCAGUUCUGUGACAAAGGAGCAGGAGAGUCCUGCUCUUCCAGUCACUGAUUUUGAAGCAAAAAAAGUCACAUCCACUCCCAAGCCUUUACGCGAGCACGUAUUCUUGCACACGUCCUUAUUCCUGCCUCUGCCACCACCUCCACAACACAAUCCAUUAAAACUACAUCCUAAAGUCCUCCCAUUUUCUUACCAACUUCUGUAUAACGCUAAAAGCCUUGUAUCACUAGAUAGUGAAAACUAAAAGCAGGCGUCUGCAUAAGCUGAGGCUCAGCACUGUAACAGAGGUGACUUAGCUGUGCUUUUACUUCCUUGUUCUUUUCCAGGAGAAAUCUUCUUGGCUUCCCAGUGGGUCACCUUGCAGAAGGCCACGAGGUCAUUUGUUUUAGAGCCAAAGUGGUAUAAGGCCAGUGGCCACAGGAGCCGUUAGCCUGGGGCAGGCUGAGUGCAUGUGCCUGGUCCUGGAAGAAGGGUGGGCUGUCCAUGCUCACAGCAGGAAGUCCAUGAAUAGAGGAAUUCAAGCUUGUGUGUGCCAAUCAUCUUGUCUCCACAAAGGCCCCACAAGUUCCAACUAGAGGGUGCUUGGUGAAAUGUAGAAGGAAUCACGGCAUCCAUCUCCCCAAACAAGCUCAGAGCACAUUCUCUCCUCAACGUUUGAGUGACUUCCGGUUCCCUAGGUCAACAGCCUCACCCAUGGCUUCAUGGUGAAAUCAUCUGGAAGCUUGAAAACAAACAAACAAACAAAAAUAUACUUCUCAUUUCCAAAAAUUUGAAUCAAGCGGUUGUCGAGCAGGAUCCUUUUAUCAGUAUUUUUCGAUGCUCCCCAGGUGACCCAAUGUGCACUGAGUGGAAAGAGCUAUUCUAAGCAGACAGGGGGUGGGCCUCUUGCCCAGCCAGUCCUGCGUUCAGUGCAUCUAGCUACUCACAGCCACCCCACGCUGGGGCUCACACUCCCUCUCCUGCAGCCCUGAGCUGGGCACCAGGUGCCUGGAAGCCUCUGCUGCCCUCCCUCGCUGCUCCAUUACCAUCACAAGCUCCUCACAUGCAGUGUCCUCCUUUAUGUGUAUUCUUUGGAUGAUGUUUGUCUUUCUCAGCAGACUAUAAGCUGUGUAAGGGCAGGGGCUGUGUUUGCUUUCUUUCCUGCUAUCAAGCUAUGCCCAGGCCUGCACCUGUGAGGGAGGAGGCCUUCAGUGUGUGUGCUCAGCAACCAAGGAGGGCAAAGGUCAUCCUGCUGGCCAUGCCAUUAAAAUGAAGCUCCGAGAUUCUUGCCACCAAAAGAACAAAAGCGUCUGAGGGCAAAGUGAAGUGUAAGAGUGGGGGCAAAGCUCUGAGGAAGGCGAGGUUGGGUGGAUGGUUAAGUGAUAAGGGUGAGUGGAGUGGAAGGAACCUCAGGACAGGGGUUGAGGAUACAGUUUAGUGGCACAAGCACCUGCAUGGCUGGCAGGAGGUCCUCAGCUCGAUUCCCAGGAUAACUAUGUAACACAGGACGGCAGUCUGGAGGACAGGCCUCUAGGCCACCAGCUCUGCUCUCCCACUUUAUCUGCCACAGUCCUCUGCCUGGAACUAAAGGGUGUGUCUGGAGAUCAGAAAGGGUCAGCUUUGCCAAGCAAUGCCUGGGGAGUUGGCAGGGCAAGCAGCGCCCUAGAGGUCACUGGGGCAGCCAUGGCUUUGUCUGGCCUAGAGAGAACUCACUCCACUAAAAGAGGUGGAGUUAAUUCAGUGGUUAGACUUUAAGCCAACUUCUUGGCUUCAAACCUUUGCAAGUAUCCUUGCCACUUAUCUGCUAAGUGACCUUAGAAUGAGUGACUUAGGUUCAUUUUCUCCUUCUUCCAAACUCUAGAAUGAGGACAAGAAAUGUACUUACUUUAUAGCAUGGUAAGCAUAAAUAUUAUGAAUAAUAUUAAGACAAGCACAAAAAUCCUUUUUUCACUGUGAUUAUUAUAAUUCUGUUUUAUAAUUUGAUGCUACCAGGUUCCCUGUGUUUGGUCCUGGGCUAUUGGAUGCCAGAUAGCUGGAGUGAUGGCUAGCACUGCUCUUAAACACUGUACCUGCAGCCCUCACUGUGCAAGCCAGACCUUCUGUCACAGAGGGAGAAAAGGCUCCUGGUUUAUGAAUAAGACCAAAGUGAUGAUUCCUGAAUUUUAGAUAAACCAUCACUGAAUCCUAGUGGAUUCUACUCUACAGAUGGUUUGCUUUCCAGCUACAGGAAACAAAAUGGCAUCAAGUCUCAGAAUGACUGAACAGCUCUGCUGUAUUCACUGUGGUAUGUCAGGAAGCAGUCUAAUAUCUCCUGGAGUGCUAAGAAAGCUUGCAUGGGCAGUUCUUCCUUGGGUAACUAGAGGUGACCAUACAAGGAGGUAGACUGCUUUUCUCUCCCCAGUCCCCCAUCACCCUCACACAUCCUAUUUCUGGAGACAGCAGCAAUGGGAACAUCUCAUUUAGUCACAUGCCUAUAAAAUGCUCUGAACAUAAAGUAAAACACAAGCACUGACUACAUGAUACAUCCUUCAUAAAACAGAACGUCUUUUCUGUUAUAAGCAUGCAAAUGCCACCUGAAAUCCCAGUGUGUUUGGUUAUUGUUCAGUGGAAAGGGAGAGCCUUGUAUAAUUUGAUAUGUUAAUGUAACUGGUCCACUGGGUGCCCAGAUUAUGUCUGGGGAUGUUUCUAGAUGAGGUGCCCAUUUGAAUCAGUAGACUGAGUGAAGCAGACUCUCUCCAUAUUGUUGGUGGGCCUUAUCCGGUCUGUUGAAGGUCUAAAUAAAACAAAAGUUCUGGUUCAUUACGAAAGGGAA